rnacentral:rRNA from 1 species
GACGAACGCUGGCGGCGUGCCUAAUACAUGCAAGUAGAACGCUGAAGAGAGGAGCUUGCUCUUCUUGGAUGAGUUGCGAACGGGUGAGUAACGCGUAGGUAACCUGCCUUGUAGCGGGGGAUAACUACUGGAAACGAUAGCUAAUACCGCAUAACAAUGGAUGACCCAUGUCAUUUUUUUGAAAGGGGCAAAUGCUCCACUACAAGAUGGACCUGCGUUGUAUUAGCUAGUAGGUGAGGUAACGGCUCUCCUAGGCGACGAUACAUAGCCGACCUGAGAGGGUGGACGGCCAAACUUGGACUGGGACAAGGGCCCAACUCCUACGGGGAGCAGCAAGAAGGAAACUUCGGCAAUGGGGGCAAACCUGAACGGGCAACGCCGGGUGGGUGAAGGAGGGUUUCGGAUCGUAAAGAUCUGUUGUAAGUGGAAAAAGAGAGUGGGAGGGAAAAGUUCACGCUUUGACGGUAGCUAACCAGAAAGGGACGGCUAACUACGUG